AGCAUGUGGUUUAAUUCGAAGCAACGCGAAGAACCUUACCAGGUCUUGACAUCCCGAUGCUAUUUCUAGAGAUAGAAAGUUACUUCGGUACAUCGGUGACAGGUGGUGCAUGGUUGUCGUCAGCUCGUGUCGUGAGAUGUUGGGUUAAGUCCCGCAACGAGCGCAACCCCUAUUGUUAGUUGCCAUCAUUCAGUUGGGCACUCUAGCGAGACUGCCGGUAAUAAACCGGAGGAAGGUGGGAUGACGUCAAAUCAUCAUGCCCCUUAUGACCUGGGCUACACACGUGCUACAAUGGGCGGUACAAAGGGCUGCGAACCCGCGAGGGGGAGCGAAUCCCAAAAAGCCGCUCUCAGUUCGGAUUGCAGGCUGCAACUCGCCUGCAUGAAGCCGGAAUCGCUAGUAAUCGCAGAUCAGCACGCUGCGGUGAAUACGUUCCCGGGCCUU
rnacentral:rRNA from 1 species